AGAGCCUUUCCAUGACCCGGGGAUUUCAAGAGGAUCGAAGAGGGAAGACCAAGGAAUCAGGAAUCUUUUCUCUCUCUCUUUUCUGGGUAACAACCACUCUGAAAAGAAGAUAUUUUUCAACCUGGACUUGAAGUAACUAGUGGAGAGGCAGGUAAGGAAAAAGGAAAUGAAACCAGAGACAGAGGGAAGCUGAGCGAAAAUAGACCUUCCCGAGAGAGGAGGAAGCCCGGGGAGAGACGCACGGUCCCCUCCCCGCCCCCAGGCCGCCGCCCCCUCUCUGCCCUCUGCGGCGAGCUGCGCUCCGAGACCCGGG
rnacentral:lncRNA from 1 species